AAUCUAUGCACCGGACACUUCUGAAUUAAGUCUUUAAAUCAUACCCAAGCUUCAUAUAGUGUUUCAUCCUCUAAUUAAUGAAAAGAUGUGAUGCCAUUUCUAAGCUU
rnacentral:snoRNA from 1 species